GCGCCAGUGGUUUAGUGGUAAAAUCCAUCGUUGCCAUCGCCGAGCCUCAACAGCUCCGACGAUCUCGAUGGGCCCCGCGUUCGAUUCGCGGCUGGCGCA
rfam:Coniochaeta ligniaria NRRL 30616 unplaced genomic scaffold CONLIGscaffold_4, whole genome shotgun sequence.